GUCCUUUUGUGGUUUCUAAGCAUGAUGACUGACUGGGUUUCCAUAUCAUUCUGUGAGUUGUGUCUCCCUCAAAUUUUGUUAUGUUGUCAAUUCAUCACUCAUUUGACA